UACGAAGGGGGCUAGCGUUGCUCGGAAUCACUGGGCGUAAAGGGCGCGUAGGCGGCCAUUCAAGUCGGGGGUGAAAGCCUGUGGCUCAACCACAGAAUUGCCUUCGAUACUGUUUGGCUUGAGUCUGGUAGAGGUUGGUGGAACUGCGAGUGUAGAGGUGAAAUUCGUAGAUAUUGGGAAGAACACCGGUGGCGAAGGCGGCUCACUGGCCCAUUACUGACGCUCAGGCGCGAUAGCGUGGGGAUCAAACAGG
rnacentral:rRNA from 1 species